rnacentral:lncRNA from 1 species
UAAUUGAUCACAAAAAUGGUGCAAAAAGUUGCUUUCAACCUUCUUCUUUUGUUCAUCUUUGCUACUAUCAUUUUAGCAGCCUCAUCAUCAAGUAAGUUUGUUAAUUCAUAUAACUAUAUUAUGUUUGUCAUAAUUAUUUUUGUUUUGUUUUGUCAAAAUCAUUUUUGUUCUUUUUAUUAUUUGAUAAUCAUGAUGUUCAGUUCAAUUUGUAUGCAUGCAGCUCGAUUAAUUUCAUGAAAUACUUAUUAUUUCCAACGAAUAUAAAUAUUGUGUAACUAGCUCGAUGUACUACAGCUUGAAUAACUAGGAAGAAUCAUAUACAUUGGGUUUGAAAGAGAAAAAACAUGAGAUAAUUGGUCUGAUAUAUAACUAUAGUCCAACUUCCUUGGAUACAUAUAAAAAACAAUGACAUAUAUGAUGUUAAAGUUAUGUAUGGGAGUGUUUGGAUUAGCUUCUUUUUUUUUAAGUGACGUAUAAGCUAAUGUUAAAAAUCAAAAGUUGGUAGUAAUCUACUUUUAACUUUUGAAUUUAUUUUUUAAAUAUUUUUGAGCUUAAAGUGAAGUGCUUAAAGAAUUUUUUAUCUUUGCUAAACACCUUUAAAAAUUGAAAAGUGAUUAAAAGUCAAAAGCACUUAAAAAGAGCCAAUCUAAACAUGCUUUAAGAAGACUUUUAGGAUAAUUUAAUUUCACCAAUAAAUUAAACUGUUGGUUAAAGAGAAUAGAUUUGGACUUUGGAUUGAUGUUUUUAUCUCAAUUGAAAUUCAAACCUAAGAAAUCAUAAUUCCAGAUUGAUAAAAACAUAUUCUUGCAUACACGUAUGUAGGAUUUAGAAUCAUUGAAAUUAUAAAGAGUAUAUAUUAUCAUCAUAUAUGUAUAUACUUUUUUGUUGUGUAUUUAUAUAUGUAAUUGAGUAAAAAAAUUUGAUGAACUCCGUUAAAUUCACAUAAUUCAUUCUAGAUCAGUGAUUUAUAUUUUAAUUUUAUAUAUGCAUUUACAGGAAUUCUCAAGGAAUCCAUUGAUGAAACCUCUGUCAAAAAUUUACCAUCUCAGGUUCUCUAUCUUGAAAAACAAUCAUUAAUAGAGUUAAUCAAUGCAUUAUUAAAAAAUGAUUAUGAUUAUUACUUAAUGAGUAAUGGUUAUUAUAUCUCAAUAUGCGUAUUUUAUUAUUUUAUAUUUUAACGUGCCUUCUCGUGUGUGAAAAUAUAAAAACAUGUCUUAUUCAAUCACCAGUGUUUACACUAGUUCUUACUAAUUUAUUUACCAUAUGUUAGAUUAUAUUUAAAGGUGAGUGAAUAUGAAUUAAUCAAUCGUAAUUGAGUGAUAAUAGUGUAUAUUUAAAGACGAGUUUUAAAACGUGUGUCAUUGUUAAAUCGAAUAGUGUAAAUAUUGGGUGUAAAUAAAUUUUUACCUCACAUGUGUGUCCAUCUCUAAAAAUAGAUUCCAUCAAAAAUUUCGCUUAUAGUAAUGCAUGAUUAUUAUUUUUGCAGCAUUGAAAUUUGAAAAUUUAUGUUAUUAAAGUAAGAUUCUUCAUUUUUAAUUACUACUCAUUUAUAUUAUGUUUCAAUGAAAUUUUCAUAUUAGGGUGCGUUAGAUAUUUUGUUCCAAUCUUUUCAUGUUCGAUUACUCAAAUUUCUUGAAAAAUAUGUUUUUUUUUUUGAAAAAUAAGUUAUUUUAUUUUAAAUGAGAAAAAUAAAUUCUCUAGUGAAGGUAGAGAAAACAAGUUCCACAAAAUAAUAUUCUACAUUAUUAUUGAUUGUGUCUCUCUCAUCCUCAGUACUUUUAUACCAGUAGCCCCCACACCCCUACCUCCUAUGCACCCUCAUAUAAUAUUUAUCUAAAUUAUAUAAAAAUAUUUUUAAAAUAAUAUUUUUUAUAUGCCUAUCAAACAUGUUGCUUAUCUUUUUUUUGUGCAUAUAUAUAUAGGAUGCGAGCAACAUAGCAAUGGAUGACGAGGAGUUCUCUAUAGAAAGGAGAAUAAAUUUGGUGUUAGACUAUUUACCUCCCAAGACACAUCCACCAAUACACCCUUAAAUAACACUAUUGAUCAUAUAUGAUAUUAUUUGUUGUGUCUUGUUUUUACAUGCAUGUAUAUACAAAAAAUAAAAAAUAAAAAAUUAUGGAGUUUCUUUUUGGUUGGGGACUUGGUGAUCAAUUUCUUUUUAAUUUGUAUCGUGUCAUAAUUCUCUUUAUAUGAUUUUCUUAAAUAUUUAUAUGAACUAGUGAUGAUAUGUUACAAGUUUAUAUCAUGCAUGGAGGUUGAAGAUAUGUCUCGCUCUCUCAAAUAUCAUUUCUAG